rnacentral:rRNA from 1 species
ACACGAGUGGCGAACGGGUGAGUAACACGUGGGCAAUCUGCCCUGCACUCUGGGAUAAGCCUGGGAAACUGGGUCUAAUACCGGAUAUGACUUCCUUCCGCAUGGUUGGAAGUGGAAAGUUUUCGGUGCAGGAUGAGCCCGCGGCCUAUCAGCUUGUUGGCGGGGUAACGGCCCACCAAGGCGACGACGGGUAGCCGGCCUGAGAGGGUGAUCGGCCACACUGGGACUGAGACACGGCCCAG